CCCCCAAGCUGAGAGCAGUGGGACUGCGCCUCAUGACCGCUCUGUGGAAAAAACAGGACCGGGUCUACCCAGAGCUGCAGCGUCUAAUGAGCCAGCAGGACAGCAGGGUGGUGCUGGGGAGGGACGCCCAGUGGGAGCAGAUCCUGGCCAGGGCCGCCUGUGUCAGGGACAUCUGCAGAGAGAGGCCUUACCAGCAUGCAGGGGACAUGGUGGCUAAACCUCCUUAGGAAACUCAACUCCUUUGGAGUCAGCACACCCAUCAUGAUGACUUUUUACUACGCCUUCCUGGAAAGCAUCAUGACCUUCUCCAUCACCUGCUGGUCCCACUCCCUCAGCCUUCAUACAGGAACAGACUGCAGCAUCAGUGUGCUCUAAAAUCAUUGGCCUGCCUGUCAGAACUCUGGCAGGUUUUCAUCAACAGGCCCUUAGACAGGCAGCCAAAAUCAUCAACGACCCCUCUCACAUUCUUCACCCUGCAUUUCAAUGGCUCCCCUCUGGGCGACGCCUCCGCUGCAUUUCCUGCAGGACUGAGAGGAGGAGGAGCGCCACCUUUGUCCCCAAAGCAGCUCUGCUUUUUAACUCCAGCUGAUAAGAACA